GGAGGGUUAGCCUAACUGGCAAGGCAGCGGAUUUGAAAUCCGCCGUCCGCAAGGACAUGGGGGUUCGAGUCCCUCACCCUCCG
rnacentral:tRNA from 1 species